GACGAACGAGGGGGGAGGGAGGAACACAUGCAAGUCGUACGAUGACCCGGCUCUUCGGAGCUGGUGAUUAGUGGCGAACGGGUGAGUAACACGUGGGUGACCUGCCCUGCACUCUGGGAUAAGCCCGGGAAACUGGGUCUAAUACUGGAUACGACCAGUGGCCGCAUGGUCUGCUGGUGGAAAGCCCUUCGGGGUGGUGUGGGAUGGGCCCGCGGCCUAUCAGCUUGUUGGUGGGGUGAUGGCCUACCAAGGCGACGACGGGUAGCCGGCCUGAGAGGGUGUCCGGCCACACUGGGACUGAGACACGGCCCAGACUCCUACGGGAGGCAGCAGUGGGGAAUCUUGCACAAUGGGCGAAAGCCUGAUGCAGCGACGCCGCGUGAGGGAUGACGGCCUUCGGGUUGUAAACCUCUUUCGGCAGGGAACAAGCCUGGGGGUUUUCUUCUGGGUGAGGGUACCUGCGGAAGAAGCACCGGCUAACUACGUC
rnacentral:rRNA from 1 species